rnacentral:rRNA from 1 species
GACGAACGCUGGCGGCGUGCCUAACACAUGCAAGUCGAACGGGGGCUCUUUGGAUCGAGACUUCGGUCAAGUGAAUCUGAGCUUAGUGGCGGACGGGUGAGUAACGCGUGAGGAACCUGCCUUGGAGUGGGGAAUAACACAGUGAAAAUUGUGCUAAUACCGCAUAAUGCAGUUGAGUCGCAUGGCUCUGACUGCCAAAGAUUUAUCGCUCUGAGAUGGCCUCGCGUCUGAUUAGCUAGUUGGUGGGGUAACGGCCCACCAAGGCGACGAUCAGUAGCCGGACUGAGAGGUUGGCCGGCCACAUUGGGACUGAGACACGGCCCAG